rnacentral:lncRNA from 10 species
CUUUGUUGCCAGGCUGAAGUGCAGUGGUGCCAUCUCCGCUCACUGCAAUCUCCGCCUCCCUGGUUCAAGUGAUUCUCCUGCCUCAGCCUCUUAAGUAGCUGGCACUACAGGUGCUCACCACCACACCCAGCUAAUUUUUGUAUUUUUAGUAGAGAUGAGGUUUCAUCAUGUUGGCCAGGCUGGUCUUGAACUCCUGACCUCAGGUGAUCCUCCUGCCUCGGCCUCCCAAAGUGCUGAGAUUACAAGCAUGAGCCACGGCUCCCAGAGGGAAACAAAUAAAUAUAUUAACGAAUUAGCAACAAAGACUGUAUCAAACUUGCUUUCUUUAGAGUUAUUGAAAGAGGAGUACUGAUAUUUAUAAUGGCAUCUUAGUCAUCGGACUCCAAGUUCUUCCGUUUUGAGACUCGGACUGGAUCUCCUUGCUCCUCAAGCUUGCAGACAGCCUAUUGUGGGACCUUGUGGCCAUGUAAGUUAAUACUUAAUAAACUCACCUAUUUCUGUCUCCCUAGAGAACCCUGACUAAUACAGUUAUCGAGUCAGGAAAAUAUGUGUCAUAGCCCUAUCCCUGGCCAGAGGUAUCAAUUCAGACACAGCAUAGCUCUGGCCAGUAAGUUAAGGCUGACCUGAAGCCUUCCAAGCAGAGGUAGUGCCCUGAUAGAGUACACACCCCAAGGGCAUAGCUGGUCCUUCUGGAAGCAAACCAUUUACAAUGUUGGGGCACCCAAGCAGGGCAUAUAUACACCUGUUAACAUCAGGUUAGCAGGAUCUCCAGAGUAGCCUAUGGUCAUCAGGCCUCCAACCCUAGGAUUCCCAGGUCAGUCCAAAAAACUCAGUUGAAUCCUUGGUUUUAGAAGAGCCACCAGUGGCAGUAGUUUUCAAACAGUUUUGCUUAUUCAUAGUAUCUGUUUUUCAGCCUCACAAGUAUGAACAACAUCUAGAGGGUUAUGCAUGGGGUGUGCAGCGGCUGAAGCCGUGACCCUCUACUGUCUCACAGGCAUUCAGGAGAUGAGGUCAUUCUCUGAUGCUCUUGCUGUCAUAGGCAUGGUCAUAAUAUCACCGUCAGUUUGAAUCUGAAGUGCCCACAACAGCUUAGAAAGGUAGCAGGGAGAAUGAGUUUUUUAGUCUGUUCAUUUCUUUGGAGGACAAAAAAGCUUUUAGGAGGAGUAAGAUAAAGAUCAUUAACAUCCUCCCUGUUGCCUCCCCAGGCGUCAAGGUUUUAGUUUUGUUUUAUUUACUGCUAUCAUCAGUGUUUUCCAUCUAGU